rnacentral:tRNA from 1 species
GGCUUCAUAGCUCGGUUCAGUUAGAGCGUCGCACCGGUAUCGCGAGGUCAACUGGUUCAAACCCCGUUGAAGUCC